UUUCCUUCCUGGGCCUGCGUAGAUGUAGCUGCCACCUGUCCGGUUCACCUGUAUCCCACACAAACAUGAAGACACACGAAGCUGCUUCAACAGAUCAAUGAUGAAGCCUCCAUGCACAACUAAGUCCAGUGUCUAGGAUUUAGUGGCACCUAGUGGUAAGGUUGCAGACUGCAACCAACUGAAUACUCUCAAAUGCCGCAACUUCUCCUUCAGUGAUGAAGCCUCCAUGCACACCAAAUGUGUAAGAUUUAGUGGCACCUAGUGGUGAAGUUGCAGACUGCAAGCCAACUGAAUACUCUCUCCAACGCCGCACCCUCUCCUUCCUGUGAGCCGGUGAUCAUACACUGAUGAAAACAUACUGAUAGAUGUUGUAUUCCGUUCCUGCUAAUAGAUACUCCUACUCUGGACCUUUAACAGGUAAAUAAAGUGACAGAAAGUCAGGUGUUUUCUUUUUGUGGACA